UACAGAGGUCUCAAGCGUUGUUCGGAUUCAUUGGGCGUAAAGGGUGCGUAGGUGGCGUGGUAAGUCGGGUGUGAAAUUUCGGAGCUUAACUCCGAAACUGCAUUCGAUACUGCCGUGCUUGAGGACUGGAGAGGUGACUGGAAUUUACGGUGUAGCAGUGAAAUGCGUAGAGAUCGUAAGGAAGACCAGUGGCGAAGGCGGGUCUCUGGACAGUUCCUGACACUGAGGCACGAAGGCCAGGGGAGCAAACGGG
rnacentral:rRNA from 1 species